UACGUAGGGGGCGAGCGUUGUCCGGAGUUACUGGGCGUAAAGGGCACGCAGGCGGUUGUGUCAGUUUGCGGGGACAGUGGGUGGCUUAACUGCCCAAGGGUCGCAAAGACGGCACGACUGGAGAGCGAGAGAGGGACCUGGAACUCCGGGAGGAGCGGUGAAAUGCGUAGAGAUCCGGAAGAACACCACUGGCGCAGGCAAGGUCCUGGCUCGACUCUGACGCUGAGGUGCGAAAGCUAGGGGAGCGAACGGG
rnacentral:rRNA from 1 species